rnacentral:tRNA from 1 species
GGGCGGGUGGCUCAGUCUGGUUAGAGCGCACGACUGAUAAUCGUGAUGUCGGGAGUUCAAAUCUCCUCCUGCCCA